ensembl:lncRNA
AAGGAAGGGAAGAUUCCUGCCUGAAGCAUUAAAUAACAUGUUUAUGCCGUAAUAUAUUUGUGAUAUGUUGAGUGUUUCUAGUCUCUCAACUCUUCAGGCGCCAUGUAACCAGCCCAGUUCAGCCUGAUGUCCAAUCACUGCCUUAAGAUUUAGGAACUGGAAUAUUGAGUCUGAUCCACAGACAUCCCAAGAUACUGUGUACCGUAUCAGAUUGUUCAGGCUCAUGCGUGGUUAGGGAUUUGUAGGCAUAAAUAAAUGUGAUCAAUUGUAUUUUUGUCCAUUUUAUGCUACUAUUAUAAUAUAUACCGUAUUCAGUUUUAGGGUAGCGGAGUGGUACAGUAGGUAGGUAUUCAGUUUGGAUGGACCCGGUGACCCAUCCAGGGUGUUGUUCCAGAUAAUCUCCAGUUAAAGCACUUACCAAGGAUGAAUGUAUUAAAUGAUUAAUAUGCUUUAAGCUUAAUAAUACUGUAAUAAUUGCUUUACUUUAAGAUCCCUUCCAAAUACAAUGCUUUCAGCUUUCCCCAGAGGACUUCCUAUUAAUUUGACACACUACAGAGAGCACUUACUACACAAUAAAGCACCAAUUUUCAAUUCAGCCAGAGAAAAGGUAUGACUUCAGUGUGUG